UCCAGGAACUGUUGCAAAACAGACAGACGUUCCUGAACUACACAGAGACCUACGGCUACAAGGACGAGUGGUACUGGGAUGACCAAGCUGUUGUUCUUACUCAGUGGAAUAUGACGCUUAAGAGAGGAUUCAUGGAGGAACGCUCAGAGGUCAUAUCAACGUAUGCAUUAUGUGGGUUUUCCAACGUCGGGUCGAUGGGCAUCCUUCUAGGUGCAUUAUCGGCGCUCGCUCCGUCUCGGAAGAAAGACCUUGCCUCCAUAGUCCUCAGGGCAAUGAUAGCAGGAAAUGUCGCAUGCUUUUGACAGCAUGUAUAGCGGGUUUGUUUUUCCGAGAAUUCUGAGCCACCAGUGAGGAACCAUAUAAUAGUGGGUUCGGCAACCAAGCAACCUUUGAGAUCUGCAUACUCUAUGCACCAUCGUACUCGACAAAUAUGAACAAUGGCAGGAAGGAUGCAUAAUACCUGUUUAUAAUAUUCUAUACAUAACGGAUUGGAUAAUCAGUACAAAGUGGUUCGCUCAUAUGUUUAGUGUUUUCCAAAAUAGGAGUGAUUGUAUAAAUAUUUGUUAGUUGAAAUAUGGAUGACAGAGUGCCGACGUAAGUUACGAAACCUACUUAAUCGUGAGAGAGGAUAUCCUGGACCGUAAUAUAUAUUACAAAUAUUUAUGAUAUUGUUUAGAAACUUACAUAUCAACUUGAAAACCAACCACCACAACUACAAGCUCGGGAAUGGUGAAACUUAAUUUGAUAGGUAGUAAGGCAAUAGACUUUUAGUUUUAUAACUGUAAACAAAUAGCAUUUUGGAGACACUGAAAGCAAAAGUUCCAAAGACACGAAAGUUAAUGAGAGUAUUUUGUUUCCCAAUAUGACUGAUUUCUUUUGAUGUCAUAGGUUGGUAGGGAAAGUUUAUAGGAUAAAUAUAAUACAACCUGAGAAUAAUGUUUUAGAAAUGUUUUUACGAAAGCAACAAUAUAUACUUUACCGUGACAUGAUACACUGACACUCACAAAACGGGCGG